ACUCAAAUUUUCCGUACAACACGUACAAAUCUUUCGCCUUUUACUAAAGAUUUCCGUGUAUGGGAGAUAUCUCUUGAGAACUCCACGAUUUUUCUGAGAGCUUCUUUGAAGCUU